rnacentral:rRNA from 1 species
UACGUAGGGCGCAAGCGUUGUCCGGAAUUAUUGGGCGUAAAGGGCUCGUAGGCGGUUUGUCGCGUCGGGAGUGAAAACCCAGGGCUUAACCCUGGGCUGGCUUCCGAUACGGGCAGACUAGAGGUAUGCAGGGGAGAACGGAAUUCCUGGUGUAGCGGUGAAAUGCGCAGAUAUCAGGAGGAACACCGGUGGCGAAGGCGGGUCUCUGGGCAGUAACUGACGCUGAGGAGCGAAAGCGUGGGGAGCAAACAGG